rnacentral:lncRNA from 1 species
GGAUCCCUCACUAGUAUGUUGAAGCUCUCCUCACAUGAUGGAUUGUUGGUUUAGGUUGAGUUUUCUCCCUUUGAUAACAAAAGACCUUAAGGCUUUUGAUCAAAUCUAUUCACCAAUCUUUUGAGAUUUUUACCCUGAACUACGAGGUUUUGAUCCUAUUCUUCUUUAAGAUGGUACGUAGGCAAUGGGUUUAUCCAUUCAAACACAAAAUUAUA